rnacentral:rRNA from 1 species
AGUGAACGCUGGCGGUAGGCCUAACACAUGCAAGUCGAACGGCAGCACAGUAAGAGCUUGCUCUUACGGGUGGCGAGUGGCGGACGGGUGAGGAAUACAUCGGAAUCUACUUUUUCGUGGGGGAUAACGUAGGGAAACUUACGCUAAUACCGCAUACGACCUACGGGUGAAAGCAGGGGAUCUUCGGACCUUGCGCGAUUGAAUGAGCCGAUGUCGGAUUAGCUAGUUGGCGGGGUAAAGGCCCACCAAGGCGACGAUCCGUAGCUGGUCUGAGAGGAUGAUCAGCCACACUGGAACUGAGACACGGUCCAGACUCCUACGGGAGGCAGCAGUGGGGAAUAUUGGACAAUGGGCGCAAGCCUGAUGGAGCCAUACCGCGUGAGUGAAGAAGGUCUUCGGGUUGUAAAACUCUGUUGUUAGGGAAGAAAAGCAGUAUAUGAAUCCACGCAUGUUUUGACGGUACCCAAAGAAAAAGCACCGGCUAACUUCGUG